rnacentral:rRNA from 1 species
GAGAACGCGUGAGAAUCUGCCCUCAGGAGGGGGAUAACGGUUGGAAACGACCGCUAAUACCCCAUAUGCCGCGAGGUGAAAUGAAUUUCGCCUGAGGAUGAGCUCGCGUCUGAUUAGUUAGUUGGUGGGGUAAAGGCCUACCAAGACAUCGAUCAGUAGCUGGUCUGAGAGGAUGAUCAGCCACACUGGGACUGAGACACGGCCCAGACUCCUACGGGAGGCAGCAGUGGGGAAUUUUCCGCAAUGGGCGAAAGCCUGACGGAGCAACGCCGCGUGAGGGAUGAAGGCCUCUGGGCUGUAAACCUCUUUUGUCAAGGAAGAAGAUCUGACGGUACUUGAUGAAUAAGCCACGGCUAAUUCCGUGC